UCUUGAUUUGUUGCCGGAGGCCAAGUUUCCUGUGUCUGUCUCUGCAUCUGAGCCUAUCACCCCUGGGUAGCACAGUGGUAGAGCGUCCCUACCACGCGGGAGACCCGGCUUCGAUUCCCAACAGAUCCUGUCAGCAAGACUCAGCCAUGGAACCAGGCUCAGCAGAGACAACUAACAGGCACCAGACCUGGACUCUGCUGUGGUGAAGCCUGACUACAAGAGGGGAUGAGACCAACAGGGCCACUCGUUCCAACGUCAGUGAAGAAACCAACAAAACCCAGUGGGCUAGAAGGGUUCUGAUUGAAGUUACUUAAUAAAGUUUCAAAAUAAUAAUAAAUA